rnacentral:lncRNA from 1 species
GGGUGAUGGUGCGCUUUGAGCGGGGUUGCGUCAUUGCUGACCCGCUUUUCCUUCCCACUGCUGUGCAGGAUGGGCGAGGCAGAGGGCAGCGCUGGAGUCUGACUGCCAGGGGCUCUCCUCCCACUCGUGCUCAGAUUGACAGACUCCUCCUUUGCCUGAGAGCUUUGGAAAAUAAACGGAAGCUGCUGUGAGAGAACCUGAGGCUGCUUCUGCUGGGACUGGAAUGGUGGGUGCGUCUGGGACUCAGACACAGGAGGUAAUGGCUGGUGUGUUCUUCUUUCCUGGGCUUUUUCAGUUGCUUUCUGUCCAUCUGUUUUUGGGUCUGAAAUACCAUGUAAUAGCACCUGGA